GUGUGAUUGUUCUUUAUGAUGAAAACAUAUUUUUACACAGACCUGUACUGAGCUUUGCCAUGCAGAUAAACGAAUAUUGCCUUUUAUCUCUGACUCAAGAACAACAUGU